AUGCGCUCAGUUCCAGCGGCGCCAGCGGCAGAUCGCCGCGGCAUAGACGCCGCCCGUGCAGACGCCUCCAAGCUCAAGACACUCCGGGACUACACUCAAGCCCGGGGUUUGUGCUUCAAGUGCGGCGAGCGGUGGGAGCAUGACCAUGUGUGCCCCACCACAGUCCAGCUACACGUCGUUGAAGAGUUGCUGGACAUCUUCGGCCUCGACAAUUUUGUCGACACACAACUGGGUCCUGACGAAGCAUCGCAAGACACAGCCAUGGCCAUUUCAGUUUCGGCUGUUACAGGAGGAGUUUCAGCAAAAUCCUUUCAACUCAGAGUGUGGCUGCAGGGGCAUGAGGUUCUAAUGCUGGUGGAUUCCGGCAGUUCCAACUCUUUCGUCAACGAGCAACUCGCAAGACAGCUUUCAGGAGUUCAAACCCUCCCCAAACCCAGCCGUGUCCGAGUUGCAGAUGGGGGUGAGCUGCUCUACAAGGAAGUAGCCACACAAUGCGCAUGGUACGCGCAGGGGAAUGAGUUCUAUACAGACUUGAAGGUUGACUGGCUAGAGGAACACAUCCCGAUGCUGGUUGACUGGCGCGCCCAUUUCAUUGAGAUACCUACACUAGCGGGUCCAUUGCGUCUCGUGGGACAUGACGCGUCUUCAACAAGUUGCCAGACCAUCAACAGCUUGCAACUGCAAAACCUGUGCAACAAAGGAUCUAUCACACAUGCCGUACACCUCUGUAUGGUAGCAUCGCAACCUGAGAUCUUGGAACAGACACCAGCAUGCAUCCAGGAAGUCUUGGACCAGUUUCCCGACGUAUUCGAUGAACCAAAGGGGCUCCCACCAAGGAGGGCAUGUGAUCAUCGCAUUCCGCUGAUUUUGGGAGCGCGACUAGUCAAUGUCAGGCAGUAUCGAUACAAACCUAAGCAGAAAACUGAGAUUGAAGCUCAGGUCGAGGCACUGCUGAAAUCAGGAGUGAUUCAGCGUAGUAACAACCCAUUUUCAUCCCCAUCCCGGUGA
rnacentral:rRNA from 1 species